rnacentral:tRNA from 1 species
GGGGAUUUAGCUCAGUGGUUAGAGCGCUUGCCUAGGGAGCGCAAGGCCCUGGGUUCGGUCCCCAGCUCCG